AGGAACUUAAGUUAUAUCCAAACUAGGGGCCUUCAAAGCCUCAAAUAAAGCGCUACUUUAGUUUCUGC
rnacentral:tRNA from 1 species